CAGUAGCCGCGGUAAUACGUAGGGUGCGAGCGUUAAUCGGAAUUACUGGGCGUAAAGCGUGCGCAGGCGGUUCGUUAAGACAGAUGUGAAAUCCCCGGGCUUAACCUGGGAACUGCAUUUGUGACUGGCGAGCUAGAGUAUGGUAGAGGGGGGUAGAAUUCCAGGUGUAGCGGUGAAAUGCGUAGAGAUCUGGAGGAAUACCGGUGGCGAAGGCGGCCCCCUGGACAAAGACUGACGCUCAGGUGCGAAAGCGUGGGGAGCAAACAGGAUUAGAUACCCGAGUAGUCCCUGUCUCUUAUAC
rnacentral:rRNA from 1 species